UUUCAGAACAUGUGGUACCCUCAGCCUGUCGAUGUCGUACCGUUACCGUUCGUCUUGGAGUCACAUUCAAUAACUUAUGAGGAUCUUUCUGCCAGAGCCAUGUGGCCAGUCAUUCCCUUUGGCCAGCGUGCGUAUAAUACAGUGAACGAGAUUAAUGUGUUGCUGAAUUUCUUGUACAUCUCUCAAGGCUUUUACAAUGAUCCACUGUACACCAGUGAGGGAAGGAAGUUUCUGUUGAUGAGGUCACUGUUCGAGCUUGUCUUGGCCAAUGAAUAUCUGGAGCUCACAGAUCCAAAGUUGCUUGGAUGGUUCCUAUGUUUAACAGCAGAGGACAGAACCUUAAUUAAAAAAGAGGGAGGGCUUCUGCCAUUUUUACAGAAACACCCGGCACUUCAAGUAGAC
rnacentral:lncRNA from 1 species